GUAUCCUUAGCUGAGUUGGUAGGGUAUGGCGCUUGCAAAGCCAGGGUUGUGGGUUUGAUUCACACGGGGGACC
rnacentral:tRNA from 1 species